UCGGUUAAGCUGUAGCCUGAGGCAUAUAACUUUAAUUUUAAAUUUUUUUUAAGCCUUUAGACACCGGUUUUUCUUUUAACCAGGUCAGUAGCCCUUUGUUAGGUCUGAGAAAACUUAAAAGUUACUUUCUUCCUCGUGCUCUGGUUUCUUCCUUUCUCUCUCACAUUUUCUUUUUCUCCGUUGGUGCCUCCUUGCUGCCGCCGCUGCUGCCUCUCUGGUGCUGCCGUUGCUGCCUCCCUGGUGCCGCCGUUGCUGCCUCCGGUGCUUCGUCCAAGGAGUCCACAGUGACGCCUCCCCCGCCGCUUCUCGUCGCUCCUUCGUCGCGUGCUCGCCCCUCUGUCGCGUGCUUGCCCCUCUUCGUCGCUCCUUCUAUCGCGUUUCUCUCACUGCGUCAAAGGCCGCGGCGCCACAGUUCAUCCACGCCGGCGUCUCCAUUGGGUUUGGUCUUCCUUGCGGUUUCAUGGACGAAGUACGAAGAGGUUGUUGGAGAUGAAGGAACUCUCUAUUUGGCUCACGGUGGUGAUGGUGGUUGGAUGAUUGAUGGAGGCAUUGCAUGAGGAGGAUGAUGAAUUGGGUUCUUGGCUAGGUGUUUUUGCAGGUCUGGAAAAUUUUUUUGAUGAUGGACGAAGAAGAUGGUGGUUCGGAAAUUGGGUGGCAGGGCGAUUCUCGCGAAGGACGAAGGUGGUCUAUGGUGGUGUUUUGGGUGGUCCGAUGCGAGAAAGAUGAACCUGCAAUGGGAGAUCAUGGUGGCACAUGGUCGUGUUGGCGGUGUGUGGAGUGAAAGAUAUUCAAAAUGAACAAAGGUGCAAAUAUGGCGAUCUCGUGGUGGUCAGCGGCGUGACCAUACUGCCUCGGUUCCUUUUGAACGGAGGUCAAAUUCUACAUCGUUUUGACUUGGUUCACAGCCGAGGCAUA